GACGAACUGUCCUAACGUUGUUCGGAAUCACUGGGCUUAAAGGGCGCGUAGGCGGUCGACCAAGUCAUGUGUGAAAUCUCCACGCUCAACGUGGAGGGGCCACCUGAUACUGCCGUGACUCGAGUCCGGUAGGGGAGUGUGGAAUUCCCGGUGUAGCGGUGAAAUGCGCAGAUAUCGGGAGGAACACCAGUAGCGAAGGCGGCACUCUGGGCCGUGACUGACGCUGAGGAGCGAAAGCGUGGGGAGCGAACAGG
rnacentral:rRNA from 1 species